rnacentral:lncRNA from 1 species
AAUCUUGCCGUUGUCAUAAUAUGUAAAGUCUUGCUUGAGAAUGCUCUGAGUACAUGACUGUGGAAGGUAGAAUAGAAAUUGCAACAACAAAAUCCUAACUCUAAUAGAAUACUAACUAAAUUCUAAUUAAACCAUAAUAAUACUAAGCAAGCUUUAAUCAAAUUCAAAGAAACCUCAAAGGAAUUACAAAGAAAGAAUAAAAAAUCUUAAAGAAAUAUUAAAAUGAUCACAAAUAUAUCUCAAUUCAAUCUUAAUUUAAUCCUACUUAAAAUCCUAUUGGACUUCAUUCAAACUUUAGGCCAAAAACUAACUAAAUCUAAAACCCUAAACAAAUUCAAAUAAAAUCCUAUAUCCUAAAUCAAACCCUAAUCAAAUCCUAAAUCCUAAAUCAAAUCCUUACCAAUUCUAAAUCAAAUCCUAACCAAAUCCUUAUCUUAGAUCAAAUCCUAACUAAACCCUAAAUCCUAAACCAAACCCUAAUCCUAAAUCAAAUCCUAACCAAAUCCUAAUCUUAAAUCAAAUCCUAAUCAAAUCUUAAUCCUAAAUCAAAUCUUAACCAAUUCUAAAUCAAAUCCUAGAUCUUAAAUCAAAUCCUAAUCAAAUCCUAACUCUAAAUCAAAUUCUAAUCAAAUCCUAGAUCCUAAAUCAAAUCCUAACCUUAAAGCAAACCCUAAACAAAUCCUAAAUCCUAAAUCAAAUCCUAAUCAAAUCCUAAUCCUAAAUCAAAUCUUAACCAAAUUCUAAAUCA